GCGAGUAUAGUUAAGUUGGUAUAACCUCUACCUUCCAAGUAGAUAUGAUCAGUUCGAGUCUGAUUACUCGUA
rfam:Scleroderma citrinum Foug A unplaced genomic scaffold scaffold_803, whole genome shotgun sequence.